rnacentral:rRNA from 1 species
GCGGCGUGCUUAACACAUGCAAGUCGAACGGUGAAGCAGAGCUUGCUCUGUGGAUCAGUGGCGAACGGGUGAGUAACACGUGAGCAAUCUGCCCCUGACUCUGGGAUAAGCGCUGGAAACGGCGUCUAAUACCGGAUACGAGCUGCGACCGCAUGGUCAGUAGCUGGAAAGAAUUUCGGUCAGGGAUGAGCUCGCGGCCUAUCAGCUUGUUGGUGAGGUAAUGGCUCACCAAGGCGUCGACGGGUAGCCGGCCUGAGAGGGUGACCGGCCACACUGGGACUGAGACACGGCCCAGACUCCUACGGGAGGCAGCAGUGGGGAAUAUUGCACAAUGGGCGCAAGCCUGAUGCAGCAACGCCGCGUGAGGGAUGACGGCCUUCGGGUUGUAAACCUCUUUUAGCAGGGAAGAAGCGAAAGUGACGGUACCUGCAGAAAAAGCGCCGGCUAACUACGUGCCAGCAGCCGCGGUAAUACGUAGGGCGCAAGCGUUAUCCGGAAUUAUUGGGCGUAAAGAGCUCGUAGGCGGUCUGUCGCGUCUGCUGUGAAAACCCGAGGCUCAACCUCGGGCCUGCAGUGGGUACGGGCAGACUAGAGUGCGGUAGGGGAGAUUGGAAUUCCUGGUGUAGCGGUGGAAUGCGCAGAUAUCAGGAGGAACACCGAUGGCGAAGGCAGAUCUCUGGGCCGUAACUGACGCUGAGGAGCGAAAGGGUGGGGAGCAAACAGGCUUAGAUACCCUGGUAGUCCACCCCGUAAACGUUGGGAACUAGUUGUGGGGUCCAUUCCACGGAUUCCGUGACGCAGCUAACGCAUUAAGUUCCCCGCCUGGGGAGUACGGCCGCAAGGCUAAAACUCAAAGGAAUUGACGGGGACCCGCACAAGCGGCGGAGCAUGCGGAUUAAUUCGAUGCAACGCGAAGAACCUUACCAAGGCUUGACAUAUAGAGGAAACGUCUGGAAACAGUCGCCCCGCAAGGUCUCUAUACAGGUGGUGCAUGGUUGUCGUCAGCUCGUGUCGUGAGAUGUUGGGUUAAGUCCCGCAACGAGCGCAACCCUCGUUCUAUGUUGCCAGCACGUAAUGGUGGGAACUCAUGGGAUACUGCCGGGGUCAACUCGGAGGAAGGUGGGGAUGACGUCAAAUCAUCAUGCCCCUUAUGUCUUGGGCUUCACGCAUGCUACAAUGGCCGGUACAAAGGGCUGCAAUACCGUGAGGUGGAGCGAAUCCCAAAAAGCCGGUCCCAGUUCGGAUUGAGGUCUGCAACUCGACCUCAUGAAGUCGGAGUCGCUAGUAAUCGCAGAUCAGCAACGCUGCGGUGAAUACGUUCCCGGGUCUUGUACACACCGCCCGUCAAGUCAUGAAAGUCGGUAACACCUGAAGCCGGUGGCCCAACCCUUGUGGAGGGAGCCGUCGUAGGUGGGAUCG